UACGUAGGGGGCAAGCGUUGUCCGGAUUUAUUGGGCGUAAAGAGCGUGUAGGCGGCUAGAUAGGUCCGUUGUGAAAACUCGAGGCUCAACCUCGAGACGUCGAUGGAAACCAUCUGGCUAGAGUCCGGAAGAGGAGAGUGGAAUUCCUGGUGUAGCGGUGAAAUGCGCAGAUAUCAGGAAGAACACCUGUGGCGAAGGCGGCUCUCUGGUACGUGACUGACGCUGAGACGCGAAAGCGUGGGGAGCGAACAGG
rnacentral:rRNA from 1 species